AAUAGAUACCCGGGUAGUCCACGCCGUAAACGUUGGAUACUAGGUGUGGCGGUUAUACCAAUGACUGCCGUGCCGAAGCUAACGCAUUAAGUAUCCCGCCUGGGGAGUACGGCCGCAAGGCUAAAACUCAAAGGAAUUGACGGGUCCCCGCACAAGCGGCGGAGCAUGCGGCUUAAUUCGAUGCAACGCGAAGAACCUUACCUGGCCUUGACAUCCUCGGAACCCUGCAGAGAUGCGGGGGUGCCUUCGGGAACCGGGAGACAGGUGCUGCAUGGCUGUCGUCAGCUCGUGUCGUGAGAUGUUGGGUUAAGUCCCGCAACGAGCGCAACCCUUGUCCCUAGUUGCCAUCAUUCAGUUGGGAACUCUAGGGAGACCGCCGGUGACAAACCGGAGAAGGUGGGAUGACGUCAAGUCAUCAUGGCCCUUAUGGCCAGGGCUACACACGUGCUACAAUGGCCGGUACAAAGGGCUGCCAACCCGCGAGGGGANCGUAAUCCCAGAAAGCCGGUCGUAGUCCGGAUCGGAGUCUGCAACUCGACUCCGU
rnacentral:rRNA from 1 species